rnacentral:rRNA from 1 species
AUGAACGCUGGCGGCGUGCCUAAUACAUGCAAGUCGAGCGAACGGACGAGAAGCUUGCUUCUCUGAUGUUAGCGGCGGACGGGGGAGUAACACGUGGAUAACCUACCUAUAAGACUGGGAUAACUUCGGGAAACCGGAGCUAAUCCCGGAUGAUAUUUUGAACCGCAUGGUUCAAAAGGGAAAGACGGUCUUGCUGUCACUUAUAGAUGGAUCCGCGCUGCAUUAGCUAGUUGGUAAGGUAACGGCUUACCAAGGCAACGAUGCAUAGCCGACCUGAGAGGGUGAUCGGCCACACUGGAACUGAGACACGGUCCAGACUCCUACGGGAGGCAGCAGUAGCGUAUCUUCCGCAAUGGGCGAAAGCCUGACGGAGCAACGCCGCGUGAGUGAUGAAGGUCUUCGGAUCGUAAAACUCUGUUAUUAGGGAAGAACAUAUGUGUAAGUAACUGUGCACAUCUUGACGGUACCUAAUCAGAAAGCCACGGCUAACUACGUG